rnacentral:tRNA from 1 species
GCGCGCUUAGCUCAGCGGUAGAGCACUUCGUUGACAUCGAAGUGGUCACUGGUUCGAUCCCAGUAGUGCGCACCA